CCUACGGGUGGCAGCAGUGGGGAAUAUUGCACAAUGGGGGAAACCCUGAUGCAGCGACGCCGCGUGAGUGAAGAAGUCCUUCGGUAUGUAAAGCUCUAUCAGCAGGGAAGAAAAAAGACGGUACCUGACUGAGAAGCCCCGGCUAACUACGUGCCAGCAGCCGCGGUAAUACGUAGGGGGCAAGCGUUAUCCGGAUUUACUGGGUGUAAAGGGAGCGUAGACGGCUGUGUAAGUCUGAAGUGAAAGCCCCGGGCUCAACCCGGGGACUGCUUUUGAAACUGUGGAGCUUGAGUGCAGGAGAGGUAAGUGGAAUUCCUAGUGUAGCGGUGAAAUGCGUAGAUAUUAGGAGGAACACCAGUUGCGAAGGCGGCUUACUGGACAGUAACUGACGCUGAGGCUCGAAAGCGUGGGGAGCAAACAGGAUUAGAUACCCUAGUAGUC
rnacentral:rRNA from 1 species